rnacentral:rRNA from 1 species
CCAGGUCCAGACACAAUGAGG